GUUCUAACCAAUUCUUUUGAGUAUUAGGGUAUUUUAAUAUCAAAGCCUAAUCUCUACAGAGACUUUUAGAAAUAAUUUUCUUUUAACUAUAGCCAACUUGAUCACAUAAAGUUUUUUUAUAUAAAUUCUCCUUUUACAAAGUUUAUUAUGACUUACACAAACCAUUUAUGAUAUAUGCCUAUGUUCCCAGACCAAACUGAGGGUCGGGCUGCUAUUUCUCGUGGCCCGAUAACAAGAUGCAGAUGAACUGGGGAGGAAGAGAGUUUUUAUUUCUGUAACCGGUUACAGGGAGAAGACCUGGAAAACACUGCUAGACCAACUCAAAAUUACAAAGUUUUCCAGAGCUUAUAUGUCUUCUAAGCCAUAUGUCUAUGUGUAAGUAUGCAUUCAUCUAAAGACAUAAGUGAUUAACUUCUUUUAAUCUGUAACUAAGAUCUGAGUUCUGAAGACCUUCCUCUGGAGCCUGAGUAAAUUUACUUAAUCUAAAUGGGUCCAGGUUCCGGGGUGAUUACCCUUAUCUUGUCUCCUGCUAAAUCAUGGAGGAUUGGGAAGUUCCUUCAGACCCCAGUAAACUUGUUUGUGGAGGCCUGGGGAGUUUCUUCAGACCCCCAAUAAAACUUGCUUAAUCCUAAAUGUAUCCUGUUAAGAAUUCCUUCAUUAUCUUGUCAUGUUUCAAGGCCAGGAAAGGCUUAGGCAAAACUCUUGGUGGGCUUCUGUUACAGCCCAGCCUUUGCAUAAGGUCACUGGCCCUUUCAGCUUUUAAUAUUUAACUUAAUCAGUCAGUGCUGAAACAGUUGUUAUGAAGGCCCGCAUUAGUGAGACCUGGCCUGCCACACUUGGACUUCCUGUUUUAUCUUAAAUAUCCGCUUUCUUAAAUAACCAGUCAUUUUAUUUUGGGACAAAAAAUUUACCAUACAAAUUCUUUCUCAUAUAAAAUUAUUUUCCUUUUAACCUUUAUUAUCUUUUGCCUUGUUUCAUAAAUAACCUUUGAAUUAGAAAUUAUUUCCCUUUAAUAAGAACAUUUUUUAAAGAAAAAUGUUUGCUUGCUAUAAUAUAAUUUUUAAAAAUCAGGUAACAAUACAAAAGCAAGCAGUUUAAGAUCAGAGGGAACCUGUCUGUUUAUAUUCUUGGGGUUCCAUAUGGAAGAACAGAGAUUUCUCCCCAGAAAGGAGUCUGGUGCCUUCUCUCUUUUCUUUAAGGAAUCCCAGGCUGUUAGAAAUUAUUUAGAUCCUUCAUGCAGCAGAGAGUGGCAAGAGGAAGGAGAGACAGGCCAAAGUAAUUUGAGGAAACAGAACUCAGUCAACUGAGAAGCAAAAAACUUUUUCUCAAAAAACAAGAUCCUAGGACAGAGAAAAAGCAUAAAGGCCUUAUAUUCAUACACACACAUCUUGGAUAUUAGCUUUUAAUUAAGCUGAGUUUUAACCACUGAGCUCUUAAAAAUCCUUUUAAAUCUCUUUUAACCAUGUUUUAGCUGGGACAACCUGCUGAUAUUUCAAAAGUACUAAUAACACAAAAUUUAAGCCAGAAAGGACCUGAUUCAGGAACCAAACCCAGGCUGCUAUGGUGAAAGCAGGCAGAACCUUUAGCUACUGAACUACGCUGCGGGGCAGCCACCAUAGUUCUUUCAGUUUGGGCUUGGCUGGCGAAAGAUGGCCUUGUUAUGUAAACAAAGCCCCUCAGGUAGUCAAAAUCUUUCUUUUCUUCCUUUUGCUGGCUUUUUUAUUUUUUUUUUCCAGCUGCAGGAAUGUAGACAAUUCAGAGGCUUUGUUCCCCAUAAUUUGGAACUUUUCUUCAGAUUUGACCAAGUCGGGUAGAGAUGAUCAAACCUAAUGGGAAAAAGACUGAAACAACAAAAACAGAAACAGGCAAACACAACCAGAGAGAGUAUAAGGAAUCCGAAGGUUGCCCUGCA
rnacentral:lncRNA from 1 species